rnacentral:rRNA from 1 species
CCUACGGGAGGCAGCAGUGAGGAAUAUUGGUCAAUGGACGAGAGUCUGAACCAGCCAAGUAGCGUGAAGGAUGACUGCCCUAUGGGUUGUAAACUUCUUUUAUAAAGGAAUAAAACGAGGCACGUGUGCCUUUUUGCAUGUACUUUAUGAAUAAGGAUCGGCUAACUCCGUGCCAGCAGCCGCGGUAAUACGGAGGAUCCGAGCGUUAUCCGGAUUUAUUGGGUUUAAAGGGAGCGUAGAUGGGUUGUUAAGUCAGUUGUGAAAGUUUGCGGCUCAAACGUAAAAUUGCAAUUGAUACUGGCAGUCGUGAGUACAGUUGAGGUAGGCGGAAUGCGUGGUGUAGCGGUGAAAUGCUUAGAUAUCACGAAGAACCCCGAUUGCGAAGGCAGCUUACUAAACUGUGACUGACAUUGAUGCUCGAAAGUGUGGGUAUCAAACAGGAUUAGAUACCCGUGUAGUC